UACGUAGGGUGCGAGCGUUUAAUCGGAAUUACUGGGCGUAAAGCGUACGCAGGCGGCUUUGCAAGACAGGUGUGAAAUCCCCGGGCCUAACCUGGGAACUGCAUUUGUGACUGCAUGGCUAGAGUUUGUCAGAGGGGGGUGGAAUUCCACGUGUAGCAGUGAAAUGCGUAGAUAUGUGGAGGAACACCGAUGGCGAAGGCAGCCCCCCUGGGAUGUGACUGACGCUCAUGUACGAAAGCGUGGGGAGCAAACAGG
rnacentral:rRNA from 1 species